rnacentral:rRNA from 1 species
UCAACGAGGAAAGGCUUUACGGCGGGAUACCAGGGUUCCAGAGACGAGUGAAGGCGGCAAGGACGAAAAAUGCCUGGGAGUUGAAAAAGCCGCAGAUCCGGGAGAUUCCUGAAUAGGUUAACUUUGAACCGCCGUUGAAAUCCAUGGGGCAGUAAGAGACAACCGGCGAACCUGAAACAUCUUAUAGCCAGAGGAGAAGAAAGCAAAAAGCGAUCCCGCAGCAGCGGGCGGAGCGAAAUGGGAGCAGCAAACCGUGAAACGGGUUGUGGAGAUAAAUAAAAGCGUCGCUGCCAGGGCGAAGGGUGGAGUGCUGCACCUAGAUGCAUGAGAGUCCAGCCGAAAGCAUCAACAGCCAUGCCUGGGACUCGAGUAAAGCAAGGGCAAUGGAAUCCAGUGAAUCAGCAAGGACCACCUGCAAGGCCAAAUACUCCUAGUGACCGAUAGGAAGAAAGUACCGUGAGGGAAGGUGAAAAGAACCCCAUCGAGCGGAAAUAGAAAUGAAACCGUAAGCUCCCAAGCAGGGAGGAGCCUGGCCUGACUUUCGCGCCUGUUGAAGAAUGAGCUGAUGACUCAGGCAGUGGUUUGGUAAGGGAACCCACCGGAGCUGCAGCGAAAGUGAGUCUCUAUAGGUAAUUGUCACUGCCAGGACCUGAACCCAAGCGGAUCUAUCUGUUAUUCAGAUGAAGCUUUGGGUGAAACUAAUGGAGGUCCGAAACCGACUGGAUGCUGAAAAUCAGCGGAUGAGCUGUGGUUAGGGUGAAAUGCCACUGAACCCAGAGCCAGCUGGUUCUCCCCGAAACGCCGGAGGCGCAGCAGUUGACUGACAUCUAGGGUAAAGCACUGUUUCGGUGCGGCCGCGAGAGCGGCAACAAAUCGAGGCAAACCCUGAAUACCAGAUAUGACCCAAAAUAACUGGGGUCAAGGUCGGCCAGAGAGUUGGGGAGAUGUUUCCAUCGUCGAGGGGAACAGCCCGAUCACCACAAGGCCCCAAAUGACCGUGCCAGCGAUAAAGGAGGAGGGCAGGAGACAGCCAGAGGUUUGUCGAAGCAGCCACUUUUGAAAGAGCGUAAUAGCUCUCACUGAUCGAGCGCCUUGCGCCGAAGAUGAACGGGGCUAAGCGAUCUGCCGAAGCUGUGGGAUGUCAAAAUGCAUCGGUAGGGGAGGUUCCGUCCUUAGGGGAAGCAACCGCGCGAGCGGCGGUGACGAAGGCGGAAGGAAUGUCGGUUGAGUAACGAAACAUUGGUGAGAACUAACGCCCUGAAACCAAGGGUUCUCCUGCAAGGUCUGUCCAUUUUGGAGGGUGAGUCAGGGCCCAAGAUCAGGCCGAAAGGCGGUAGUCGAUGGACAACAGGUGAAUAUUCCUGUACUACUCCCCUUUGUUGGUCCCGAGGGACGGAGGAGGCCAGGUUAGCCGAAAGAUGGUUAUCGGUUCAAGAACGGGUGUCCCUGUUUUUCAGGGUAAGAAGGGUAGAGAAAAUGCCCUGAGCCAAUGUUCGGAGUACCAGGCGCUACGGCGCUGCCACAACCCAUGCUAUACUCCCAGAAAAGCUCGAACGACCUUCAACAAAAGCGGGGUACCUGUACCUGAAACCGGACAGGUGGAGAAUACUCUAGGGCGCGAGACAACCCUCUAAGGAACCCUGGCAAAUAGCCCUGUAACUUCGGGAGAAGGGGUGCCUCCUUCACAAAGGGGUCGCAGUGACCAGGCCUGGGGGACUGUUUACUUCAAAACACAGGUCUCCGUAAAGUCAAGACCAUGGGGCUGGGGCCUGCCCAGAAAGCCGAAGGCUCGGCGAAGUUGGUGACUUGAUGAUAGGGGAGCUGGCGACCGAAGCCUCGGGUGAACGGCGGCUGUAACUAUAACGGUCCGAAGGGUAGCGAAAUUCCUUUGUCGGGUAAGUUCCGACCAAAAAAUGAAAGGCGUAAUGAUCUGGGCAAUUGUCUCGGAGAGAGGCUCGGUGGAAAUAGACAUGUCUGUGAAGAUGCGGACUACCUGCACCUGGACAGAAAGACCUCGGUGAAGCUUUCACUGUCUCCGGGAUUGGCUUUGGGUUUUCCUGCAGCUUAGGUGGAAGGCGAAGAAGGCCUCCCUUCCUGGGGGGGCCUGGGUUUAUCAGUGAGAUACCACCUGGGAAGAGCUUAGAAUUUAACCUUUGUGUCAGGACCUACGGGCCAAGGGACAGUCCUGCAGACAGUUUCAUAAGGCAGGGUCUCCCAAAAAGGCAAUUGGGAGGGUGAAGUUUCGGGCCGGACGGAGAUUGGCCUCGAGUGCAAAGGCAGAAGGAGUUGACUGCAAGACCACCUGUCGAGCAGGGACGAAAGCCGGUCUUUAGUGAUCCGGACGGGUGCCGAGUGAAGGGCCGUCCCACCGGAUAAAAAGCCACUCUAGGGAUAAUAGGCUGAUCUUCCCCAAGAGCUCACAUCGACGGGAAGGCUUGGCACCUCGAUGUCGGCCUUCGCCACCCUGGGGCUGUAGUAUGUUCCAAGGGUUGGGCUGUUCCAUUAAAGCGGUACGUGAGCUGGGUUCAGAACGUCGUGAGACAGUUCAUCCAUAUCCGGUGUGGGCGUUAGAGCAUUGAGAGGACCUUUCCCUAGUAAGAGAGGACUGGGAAGGACGCACCUGGUGUACCAGUUAUCGUGCCCACGGUAAACGCUGGGCAGCCAAGUGCGGAGCGGACAACUGCUGAAAGCAUCUAAGCAGUGUUUAAUUCCAAGAUGAGUGCUCAUUCCGACUUCCCCCAGAGCUGGUAGCAGCAGCAGAGACAUAACGGUUUCUCCGUCUCUGCGGGGGAUGGAGUGAGAAGUUUUGAGAAUUCAAGAGAAGGUCACGGCAGACGAGCUGUUUAUCAUUACGAUAGCGGCGCCGGCAGCGCAGUGAUGUAUGCAGCCGAGUAUCCUAAUGGUCCGGUAGACUUGAACCU